GACCAGGCUUCAUUCCCC
rnacentral:miRNA from 1 species